rnacentral:rRNA from 1 species
UGGGGAAUUUUGGACAAUGGGGGAAACCCUGAUCCAGCCAUCCCGCGUGUGCGAUGAAGGCCUUCGGGUUGUAAAGCACUUUUGGCAGGAAAGAAACGUCAUGGGUUAAUACCCCGUGAAACUGACGGUACCUGCAGAAUAAGCACCGGCUAACUACGUGCCAGCAGCCGCGGUAAUACGUAGGGUGCAAGCGUUAAUCGGAAUUACUGGGCGUAAAGCGUGCGCAGGCGGUUCGGAAAGAAAGAUGUGAAAUCCCAGAGCUCAACUUUGGAACUGCAUUUUUAACUACCGGGCUAGAGUGUGUCAGAGGGAGGUGGAAUUCCGCGUGUAGCAGUGAAAUGCGUAGAUAUACGGAGGAACACCGAUGGCGAAGGCAGCCUCCUGGGAUAACACUGACGCUCAUGCACGAAAGCGUGGGGAGCAAACAGG